GACGAACGCUGGCGGCGUGUCUAAUACAUGCAAGUCGAGCGAAUCAAUAGGAGCUUGCUCCUGUUGGUUAGCGGCGGACGGGUGAGUAACACGUGGGCAACCUGCCUGUAAGACUGGGAUAACACCGGGAAACCGGUGCUAAUACCGGAUAAUCUUUUUCCUCUCAUGAGGAAAAACUGAAAGUCGGUUUCGGCUGACACUUACAGAUGGGCCCGCGGCGCAUUAGCUAGUUGGUGAGGUAACGGCUCACCAAGGCGACGAUGCGUAGCCGACCUGAGAGGGUGAUCGGCCACACUGGGACUGAGACACGGCCCAGACUCCUACGGGAGGCAGCAGUAGGGAAUCUUCCACAAUGGACGAAAGUCUGAUGGAGCAACGCCGCGUGAGCGAUGAAGGCCUUCGGGUCGUAAAGCUCUGUUGUUAGGGAAGAACAAGUACCGGAGUAACUGCCGGUACCUUGACGGUACCUAAUCAGAAAGCCACGGCUAACUACGUGCCAGCCGCCGCCGUAACAC
rnacentral:rRNA from 1 species